GGGGAAUCUUCCGCAAUGGACGAAAGUCUGACGGAGCAACGCCGCGUGAACGAUGACGGCCUUCGGGUUGUAAAGUUCUGUUAUACGGGACGAAUGGUACGACGGUCAAUACCCGUCGUAAGUGACGGUACCGUAAGAGAAAGCCACGGCUAACUACGUGCCAGCAGCCGCGGUAAUACGUAGGUGGCAAGCGUUGUCCGGAAUUAUUGGGCGUAAAGGGCGCGCAGGCGGCGUCGUAAGUCCAUCUUAAAAGUGCGGGGCUUAACCCCGUGAGGGGACCGAAACUGCGAUGCUAGAGUAUCGGAGAGGAAAGUGGAAUUCCUAGUGUAGCGGUGAAAUGCGUAGAGAUUAGGAAGAACACCGGUGGCGAAGGCGACUUUCUGGACGACAACUGACGCUGAGGCGCGAAAGCGUGGGGAGCAAACA
rnacentral:rRNA from 1 species